rnacentral:lncRNA from 1 species
AUGGUACCUGGAGGCCUUCUAGCUGAGAGGAGGGCAGGGGACCUGCAGGGGAAGGAAGAUGCAAGACUAGUGUGGAGCAGGAUACGGCAUCAGGGGAAGCUUGAUGAAGUUCUCUUAAACCUGUUCCUGGGGUUCUUGGGAUCGAGAUUCGACCCUGAGUUUCUAGGGGUUUUGUCCCCUGCACUCAGGGCUGAGGACACUGUUUUGUACACAGCCCAGUCAUCCAAGGGGUUUCCUUUGAAAGCUCCCUGCCGUGUCCAGGAGUGAGCAGCAUCCUGGACAGUGAGCACACCGCCUGGUGAAGCUUCAGAGGAGAGUGAGUGAUUCACUUAAGGGAAGAGGUGGGGAAACCAGUGGAAUUAACACAUAUUGAGUCCCCGCUGUGGUCAAGCACUCUGCCAGCCCUUUGGAAACCCGGACCUUGACAGUGGUGCUAGGGUGUGGUCCUGCGGCACCCAGGUCACAGGUGAGGAGAUACAGAAGAGGGGUGACUGGCCUGGGUUCGCUUAGCUCAUAAGCAGCUGUGCUGAAAUCUGGAUGCAAACUUCUUGCUCGCCCCAAACCGCUCAUCUUCCCAACUGCUUCCUUCUUACCUCCCCAAAAAAACUAAACAGUCUUCAUUAACGCUGUUUUUAUUAUUUUCUUUCCCUGGGUCUGCUCCUCUCCUCAGCCCCUUACUCCCAACUGGAAGAGACCCUUCCCACCUCGGAACCCUCAGCACUAGCUUGGUCUGCUUCUUUAGAUUCUAAGCAGUGACUGAUCUGAGAUACAGUCACUUUGGAAUCUAAAAAGGACACCAGCCCUCAGGCUCUGGGGCUCCUGGGACCUCCCUAAUGGAUCCCAAGAGAAACACCACGUUGUCAAAUCUUAUUUUAUUUCUACCAACAAUUGAAGUCGUGGCUUCAGAAGGAAAUAUUUGAGCACAGGGCACUGAGAUUUGAAUUCACAUCAGACUGCAGCAGAAACAGAAUGCAGGGCCAAUUGUAGGGCACCCUGCCCUCCCGAGUCUAGCUUCUGUGGGUGUCAGAAAACUCAGGGAAACCAAAUGCUCCCUGGGUCCCAUCAUCAAUAAAGUGCUGACUUGUCUCA